rnacentral:lncRNA from 1 species
UUCCUGGGCGUUUCCCUCCUGAUGCCUUCUAGGGUGUUCUGUAUGUAGAAUAUUAAUUGAGGCAGUAAAAUAGCUGCACCUCGUUAAUUAAUUAUCCCAGAGAAAGUAUGCGUGUUGCUGAAUUGUUGCAGUUUGUGUUCCUCCUGUAGGUCAAGGAAUUCUAACUGUUCCCACAGUUCAGGGGUGAUUUGGAUAGAAUUUGACACUAUAGAUGAGAGUAUUCGUCAGUUAAUUCAAUUAUUUAUCACUACUUUAGCAUUGAGAUUUGGGUGUACUGUAAUCACUAAGAAUGUUAAGAUCACUUUGAUGUACCACCACAACAGUCUACUACCAAUUAUGUUUUUAAUUCUGAGUUUACCAUUUUCAAUUAUCACUAUUGCAGU